UGCUGACUUUAAGGCACACUGACACGUUCGUCAUUUUGGAAAGCCCGGGGCAUAGUACAGUGGCUCCUGGGGCGCCUGGUGGCUCAGUGUCUGCCUUCGGCUCGGGCCAGGAUCCCGGGGUCCUGGGAUGGAGCCCUGCACACGUAGGCCCCCGUGCAGCGGGGAGCCUGCCUCUCCCUGUCCCUCUGCAGCUCCCCCUGCUUGUGUAUGUGUGCACGCGCUCUCUCUGCCAAAUACAUAAAGUCUUCUAAAAAAUAAAAUAAAUAAGAUAAAACCGGUGCUGUUGAUUCCCAACUUGGCAGUGCUCAUCUGCACAGUGAUACCGCGGACACAAGAACAAACGACCUGAGCAGAAGCUGGCGACAAGAGAGAGAAGCGGAGGCCGUGCUGAGGCAGCGUGACGAUCCCAACAAGCAAGUGAGAAGCACGGAGAACAGAGCACAGACAGGAGCAGCCAGAGAAAGCAGAGCGUCCAGAACUCAUCAGGUCACAGACGUCCAGGCAGAGGCCGUGCAGAGAAGCCGCCCGCCAAAGGCCCAAGGGCGCAGCUAAGGGGGAGCGGGCUGGGCAGAGGAGGAUCCCGGCGACUUUCGAGAGAGACCCUUGAAUCAGCGGUGAGAGGGACAAUCGGACCACACGGGCUUGAAGUGGCGGAGAGGCACGGGGUCACCGCGAAGUACUAGAAAGAACCAAGACUAGCUGCCAGUUGGAAAAACAACACUCUUUUGUUCCCCACUAAACAGUGCGAAAUAUGCGGGAACCCGAAGCGACGACCGCGGACCCGAUGCAUUUACAGAGGCGUCUACGCAGACUGCUAGUGUAUGCACGGGAAGCGAGCGCACUUGCGAGAAUAUUGUUGCUCUACCGCAGUCUGAUCAGCCCCAUCUGCAGUAGGGGCGUUCACACCUGGGGUGGGGUCCUUUGCCAGCUCCUGACAACGCCCCGCUAUUUGCUCUGAGGCCACCGGGCACAGAUUGGAUCAAAGGGCAUCGCAGUGUUGCUGACUUCUUGGGCACGAGCGCCUUCCAGCUGGAGCCAGCAAGUGCACCUGGAGGGAGGUAGCAGGUCUUUCUACCCUUGCCUUCCACACCCCGGGAAGCCGUCGGCUCCU
rnacentral:lncRNA from 12 species